rnacentral:rRNA from 1 species
GAGUUUGAUCAUGGCUCAGAUUGAAAGAUGGCGGCAGGUUUCAUACAUGCAAGUCGAACGGGGAGGACACCUUCGGGAGUACCAACCCAGUGGCGGACGGGUGAGUAACGCGUAGGAAUCUACCUAGUAGUGGGGAAUAACGCCAGGAGACUGGCGCUAAUACCGCAUACGACCUAAGGGUGAAAGCGGGGGAUCUUCGGACCUCGCGCUACUAGAGGAGCCUGCGUUGGAUUAGCUUGUUGGUGAGGUAACGGCUCACCAAGGCGACGAUCCAUAGCUGGUCUGAGAGGACGAUCAGCCACACUGGAACUGAGACGCGGUCCAGACUUCUAAGGAAGGCAGCAGUAGAGAAUAUUGCACAAUGGGGGAAACCCAGAUGCAGGCAUGCCGCGUGUGUGAAGACAGCCCUAGGGUUGUAAAGCACUUUCGGUGGUGAAGAAAGCCGGCGCGUUAAUACCGCGACCCGGGUAGACGUUAACCAUUAAAGAAGCACCGGCUAACUCCGUGCCAGCAGCCGCGGUAAGACGGAGGGUGCAAACGUUAAUCGGAAUUACUGGGCGUAAAGCGCACGUAGGCGGAUAGUCAAGUGGGACGUGAAAGCCCUCGGCUCAACCGGGGAAUUGCGUUUCAAACUGGCUGUCUAGAGUGUAGUAGAGGAAAGUGGAAUUUGCUGUGUAGCGGUGAAAUGCGUAGAUAUGGCAAGGAACGUCAGUGGCGAAGGCGGCUUUCUGGACUAACACUGACGCUGAGGUGCGAAAGCGUGGGUAGCGAACAGGAUUAGAUACCCUGGUAGUCCACGCCGUAAACGAUGAGAACUAGCCGUAGGAUCCCUCGGGAUUAUGUGGCGCAGCUAACGCGAUAAGUUCUCCGCCUGGGGACUACGACCGCAAGGUUAAAACUCAAAUGAAUUGACGGGAGCCCGCACAAGCGGUGGAGCAUGUUGUUUAAUUCGAUGCAACGCGAAGAACCUUACCACCUUUUGACAUCCACGGAAUCCCUCAGAGAUGAGGGAGUGCUUUUAGAACCGUGAGAA